CGGGAGGCUCGAGCGCGGCACGAGCGCGGCCGGCGCGGGGAACUGUGGUUACCACGGAGAUCCUUGCCGGGAGCACGUUUUCAGGCGCCUGCCGUGGUUUGGUGGAGCCCCACAAACAAUAGUGAUGACUUGGGGGAACACCGAAACGCCGGGGACGGCCCCGCUCCCGCUCGCCGCACUAGCCCCUGCCCGCUGCCCUCUUUUGAGGGGACUAACCGCUCCGCCGCACAGCCUCUAAAGGUAAAGUUAAGCGAGCCCACCCGCCAGCCCUUCACAGUAAGACUCAAAUGGAGGAAGAAAAUGUAAAAUGUUCAAAUGGAGAAGUGGUUCCCUUUGUUCUUUCAUUGUUUCUACACGAACUGGCGGAUACAAG
rnacentral:lncRNA from 1 species